AGUUGGCCUUCAGCCCCUGCCUCGGCCAGAGGUUUCAUUUUUAACUGAAUAUUUACGAAAGCUGAAAGCGUGCGAGGGGGGUGGGGUGGAAAUAGCGGCUGCUUCUUUUCCAAGGAUUUAUUUAAUGGGGAUGUGUUCAAGGCAAGACCGAAUUCAGAAGGAUAUCGACGUCGUGAUCCAGAAGUCCAGAGCUGAGGACUGCCUGUUUGCAGGGCUCUUCAAAGGCCUAAAAGCUAAAGGCGAGGAUGGAUUAAUUCAACAAGUCCUAGUCGUGCGCGCUGGUGAGUGCCAGACCCUGCUCCCCGCGAGGGGACCCAGGAGCCACCCUCACCACGAUCCCUGCCCUGGUGGAGCCCCCGUGCGGGACACAGGAUCCGAAGAUGGCAGCGGAAGUUCCUCAGCGGCCUCAAAAGUGACUGGGCAGAGUGGGCACAGGCUCCCUCACUGGGUGAAGGAGGCGCAAAGAACGGGAAGAGCCAUCCCGGGAGCCCACCGGCCUUUCAGUUUCCCUUGGGCCCCCAGGCGGUUCAGGUCUGUGUCGGGGCCGGGGCGUUUCCGGCAGCUUUUGAUGAAGGCGAGGGGCAAGGUCGUCCUGGUUCCAGAAUCUCCCAACCUGCGGGUCUCCAAUGAGACUAACACGAUUCACCACUCUAAUCUCUUCAGUUUUCCAAAGCCUUGCACAGUUGUACUGUCUGGUGGGCUCUGAGGUUGGGACGGUUGGGGGAGUGUUUGGUGAGUGCACCCUUCCUAUAGUGCCCAGAAGAAGGUACAAUACCUGUCUCUGUGGCACAAUCGGUUAGCGCGUUCGGCUGUUAAUCUAGAGGUUGGUGGUUAGAGCCCACUGAGGGAUGCCUCCUCCAGAUUUUUUUUUUUUUUUUUCUGAGACAGAGUCUUGCUCUGUCGCCAGGCUGGAGUGCAGUGGCGCGAUCUCGGCUCACUGCAACAUCCGCCUCCCUGGUUCAAGCGAUUCCCCUGCCUCAGCCUCCCGAGUAGCUGAGAAUACAGGCGAGCGCCACCCCGCCCGGCUAAUGUUUUGUAUUUUAGUAGAGACAGAGGUUUCACCUUAUUGGCCAGGAUGGUCUCGAUCAGCUGACCUCGUGAUCCACCCGCCUUGGCCUCCCAAAGUGCUGGGAUUACAGGUGUAAGCAACCGCGCCCUGCCCGGCUGCCUGCUUCAGCUUUUAAAGCGUUCAUGCAUUAUCAAUCACUAGAUAAACGGCGGAGAUUAUAUCUUCCCAGAGUCCUAAGCCACUAGGGUUGUGUCUCUGUGGCACAAUCAGUUGUCGCAUCCAAAAGGCCUAGCUAACUUUUGUAUUUUUUGUAGAGAAAGGGUUUCAUUAUGUUGCCCAUGCUGGUCCCCAAACUCCUGAGCUCGGGCACCUCCGAGGUCUCCCAAAGUGCUAGGAUUACAGGCAUGAGCCACUGCACAGGGCCUUAUACAAUGCUUCUAAUUUCAGCACAUUUAGCAAACUUAUCUUCUGCGGGAGAGGUACCAAAUCACAUUCCAGUUUAUUUCUCAACUCUAAUAAUGUCCCUUUCUUCAUUUACUUGCUGACACAACAAAUUUUCUCCCCUCCCGUACUUUUUGUUUUGAGACUAGGUGUCACUCUAUCACCCAAGAUGGAGUGCAGUGGCAUGAUCUCAUGUCACUGCAAACUCACCGCCCCUGCAACCAUGGCACUAGUGAUCCUCCAGAAGAGCUGGAACUACAGAGAGGACAUCUUGCUGUGUUUUCCAGGCUGGACCUGAAUGAACUCCUGGGCUCAAUCAAUCCUUCCACCUCAGCCUAACAUUUACACUGGGAGCAGAGAUGCAUUUGGACAUAUAAACUGUUAACAUGAGGUAAGCGCCAAGGUCUAGAGAAGGCAGUGGAAGAGAUGGCAAACUCCGGCACCAUGUCUGCGUGUCCAGUGUGCUCUGCUGGAGCAGCACAUUUUUGUACAUUGCUGUAUUUGAAAAAACCCUGCAAGAAUCAUGAAACUGGACGACCAUCUUUAUAACACUCCCAGUGAUAAAACAAGUAAGAAUGGCUGGUUUGUAGUCAUCUGAGCAGCCUCUCUAGUUUCGUAGAUAUGGUUUCUCUCUGAUAUCGAACGACUUCCAAUGUCAAGCGGAAUGCUACAUCACAAGGAUAACCGUAUGUGAAAAGAACCAGUUUUCUUUGUAAUCCUGAACUUUCUAGUUUGCGCAUUAAAAGACAUUAUUUGAAGAAG
ensembl:lncRNA LINC01138 long intergenic non-protein coding RNA 1138